rnacentral:rRNA from 1 species
CCUACGGGGAGCAGCAGUGGGGAAUAUUGCACAAUGGGGGAAACUCUGAUGCAGCGACGCCGCGUGAGUGAAGAAGUAUCUCGGUACGUAAAGCUCUAUCAGCAGGGAAGAAAAUGACGGUACCUGACUAAGAAGCCCCGGCUAACUACGUGCCAGCAGCCGCGGUAAUACGUAGGGGGCAAGCGUUAUCCGGAUUUACUGGGUGUAAAGGGAGCGUAGACGGCGCUGCAAGUCCGGAGUGAAAGCCCAUGGCUUAACCAUGGUACUGCUCUGGAAACUGUAGAGCUUGAGUGCGGGAGGGGCAGGCGGAAUUCCUAGUGUAGCGGUGAAAUGCGUAGAUAUUAGGAGGAACACCGGCGGCGAACGCGGCCUGCUGGACCGUAACUGACGUUGAGGCUCGAAAGCGUGGGGAGCAAACAGGAUUAGAUACCCCUGUAGUC